AUUGAAAAAUAGCACAACAAACAUUUUUAAAAAAGCCCCUCGUCUCUCUCAAUUAUUUGAUCCACACCCACAUGGAAAACCGAAGCCAAAACCCACGCGAAGCCACCUCCCCGAAUUCCCCAACCCGCCAUGCCCGACUCCGCCGAUCCCCUCCCCACGCAAGCCUCGCCGGAUCCGGACAUGCCGCCGCGGAAGCCUACAGCUGGCUGCGGCGGCGGCAAGCUCAAGAAGCCUCUCACUGACAAGCAGCGCGCUGCCGCGGAGCAGCGCCUGUCCCACCUCCGCGCCCACCUCAUCCUCCGAUCCCUCGAGUCCUCAGCUGCCGGGGCCCGUGCCCUACCGCCGGCGCAGGAGGCGGCGCUCGAUGCCCUAGGUCUGCUCGAGUUUUUCCGCCUCGACCUGCAAUCCGACACCCUGCGCCCCGACCUCAUCGCCCCGCUCGUCGCCUACUACGACCCGGUCUGCAAGCGCAGCUUCGUCCGAGGCGUCCGUGUCGCCGUCUCGCGCCACAACUUUACCCGCGCGCUCUGCCUACCCUCGAAGCCCUCCCCCUCGGCGCCGGCCCCAGCCGACAUCGACCCCGCAGCCGUGGUGCCUGCCGUUAUGCAGCUCCUGAAGGAUUACGUUCUGCUCCCGUUCCUAGGAGACGACAUGUGCAUACUGCCGCAGGAAGUGGCCGCCGCGGAGCAGGCGGUCAGGGAGGGGGCGGCGCAUAGGGUUGACUGGGCGGGCCUGAUGUGGGGCCUCGUCGAGAAGGAGAUCCUCGAGCUGCCUAAGAGGGAAGACGGGGUGUGCUACUACGGGCCUCAUCUGCAGAGGCUCAUUUAUGCCCAAAAGCCACAUUUGUUGGAGCUGGUGGAGGAAGGGGGCACAGGAGAGCCUGCUCCGGAGGCAUCCACUGAUGUGGAGAUGGAGGAGGAUGGUGAUGUGGAUAUGAAAAGCAAGAGCUUGGUGGAGCUGGAGCUGGGGGAUAGGGAUGGGGAUGCCAGUAACGACGUGAGGAGCAAGAGCUUGGAGGAGUCGGAAUUGGGAAAUGCUAGUGCAAGGAGUGAUGGUUUGGACGAGUUGGAAUUGGGGGUUUCUGUUACUAGGAACAAGGUCAUGGAGGAGUUGGGUUUAGGGGAUAUGGAUGACAGGAACAACAGUAUAGAGGAACUAGAGGUGGUUGAGGAAGAUGCAAGGAGCAAGAGGUUGGAUGAAUAUGAGUCUGUGGAUGUGGAUCCGGAUGCCAUGGAUAACAAUAUAGAUGAAAUAAACACAGUCAAUGAAGACUCAAGGAGGAAAAGCUUGAAUGAAUCUGAGACUGUGGAUGUGGAUCCGGAUGCCAUGGACAACAAUAUAGAUGAAAUGCAGGCGGUCAAUGAAGACUCAAGGAGCAAGAGCUUGAAUGAAUCUGAGGAUGUGGAUGUGGAUCCGCAUGCCAUGGACAACAAUAUAGAUGAAAUGGAGAUGGUCAAUGAAGAUGCAAGGACCAAGAGCUUGGAUGAAUCUGAGGCUGUGGAUGUGGAUCCGGAUGCCAUGGACAACAAUAUAGAUGAAAUGGAGGCAGUCAGUGAAGAUUCAAGGAGCAAGACCUUCAAUGAGUCUGAGUCUGUGGAUGCCAUGAACAACAAUAUAGUCGAAUUGGAUGCGGUCAAUGAAGACACAAGGAGCCAGAGAUUGAAUGAUGAAUCAGAGUUGGUGGAAGAGGAUGUUAAGGGUCCAAACUUAGAUGACAAGAACACUGCGGAUGAGCAUGUCAAUGGCACAAACAUUGAUGGAAUAUGUUUGGGAUUUGUGGCAGUUGAAGUGGUGCCUGCUGUACAUGAGGCAAGGCUUGACAAUAAUGAGGAAACAGCAGAGGUAGCACCAAUGGGGGGCGAUGAUGUGCCAGUGCCUACAGAUGUGGAUGGUGAAGAACCCUUGGUGGAGGCAGCAGCUGUAACACAGGAGGUAGUGGCUGUUGCAGAGGAAUUGGGGGAUGAUGAGGCUGAGGAGGAUGAAGAGAAGGAUGCAAUGGGAUUGAGCUUGGGGUUUGACUCUACCAAUGGUUAUGUUGCUAUGGAUGUGGAAGAGGAAACUAAUGUUGAGAAUCUGGACGAGGAUGAGAGUGACAGUGCCAAUGAAGAGGCAGAGGAGUCAGAGGAUGAUGCAUUUGAGGUUAAUGAUGGAGAGGACAUGAAUUGGAGAAUUGGGGAUGGCAGGGGGGAUGAGGGAAUGUCACAUUCUUUGCAACGCUGUAACACAUUUGGAGGCAUGGAGUUUGAGAACCUGAAUGAAGGGGAGACUGUAAUGAAGGAUGAGUUGAGGUUUGAUGAUUUCCCUGCGAGGGCAUCUUCAGAAAGGAUGACACCAUCAAACCUCCUCCAAGCCAUGAACUCAAUUCCCUCAACGUACAAUGUAGCAGGGAAUGUGCAUGAUCUGCCUUCUGGGGAUUUCUUGGCUAUGGGGGCUGAUGCACAUAAGAAUGGAGUGGAUCUGGGACCAGGGAGCUCAUAUUUAUUUGGGAAUAAUGGUAAGAGGAAUAUUGAUGAUAUUGAUGGUUACGAUGACAAUAUGCAGGCGCAAGAGGACUUUCCUCAGUCUAAUCAGCAGAAGAGGAUGCGCCAUAGUAACAGUGGCAACAUAUCACCUGGAUCAGGCUUUUUCAACGCAAGCUUUUCGGUACCUAUACAGAACUUGAUGGUUGAGGCAAGCAGGCUCUAUGAGCAGAAGGAGCAAAAACUUCAGAGUUUGCAAUUUGAGAAACAACAUUGGUCUGACAUGCUGCAAGAGAAGGAAGCCAUUAUCCAAUCCCUAAACUCAGCUCGGUUUGAGCAACAGAACAAGUAUCAAGUGGAGCUUAGACGCUUCGAGCAUGAUCUGAAUGUUAUGGCCCAUUUGGUAACUACCUACAAAAGAGCUUUAAAACAGACCCGGGCUUCUUUUGAUGAGUACAGGAAGAAGUUCCCUUGCAAUGUUCCUCUUUAUGAUGAUGUUGCUGGUGGUGGUGGUCUUGUUCUUAGUGUGAGGGAGUUGGAGAAGAGGCGGUGUGAGGAGGAGCAGCAAAAAAUUGCCAUGGUAAAUGAUAUGAUCGAAAGAUUCCAGUACAAAUGGUUCUCAAAGCUUGAAGAGUGGGGACUGUCUGUCAACUCACUGUGGAGCAGAAUGGAAGGACUCUAUAAGGAGAUUGAGCUUCUGAAGGAAAAUAGAAGAUCAAGAUUUGCUACCCCAGCUACAGAGGAAUCUCUAGCUACAGAAGAACCUACCCCAGCUACAGAGGAAUGAGUUCCCUGACAGUCAGAGAUACAAUCGGCCGUAAAUGAGGACCGGAUGAGUUUUCAGGAGAUGCAAGUGGACACGCAACCAUUUCCUGUCAAUAUGAUAGAGCUAGCAAGCAAAAAGGUCUUGGUUCGGCCCGAAGUGGCUGAUAAAGGCAAAGACAAAAACAUGUCAUCGGUGAUCCUCGCACGUUGAGUAUAUCACAAGGAAGGAUUGCUCGGAAGAUUCGGGACAAGAAGACUAACAAGUUCGGAGGCGUCGGGGGGCAGACUCAGUCGAGCAAAGCUCCCUAACGCGAGCAUCGCGGGCCGUCCGAGCCCUAGGUACGGACCAUCCGAUGCUGAUGUAGACGGUCCGAUUGACUCAGUCGGACAGUCCACCCAUGGCCAGAGGCGUCAGCCUCUACACAGUGAAAAAGGAGACACAGGGGCAAAGCACACAUGGUCGGCUGGUCAAAGCCGACCCGGCUCUACUUUUGAUCAGUUGCUCUCCAAACAUGCUAGCAAGAAGACCGUUCUAUGUGAUCGGCCAACAAAGAAACUCCGGUCACCAGCUAAAACGAAACGGCCGAAUAAAACGCCCCGAAAGGUGACGCAACAUAAAGAGGUGCUACAGGAAAAAGGUGUUGUUAGAGCCACAUAAAGAGGUGCUCCAGAAACUCUAGGUUUUUGUGGAGCAGCUCCACGGUGGAGUGUCUCGAGCAGUCCCAAACAUGCCCUAAGUUCAGAUGUGAAUAUGACUCCCAGUCACUCCGCUAGAUGUUUUGAUGUCAACGAGCAUACAUUCCCUCUGCUGGAUGACUCCCAGUUAGUCCCUACCCUCUGCUGCCACCAAGAGUGUGGCUGCCUAUUGGUACAUACUGUAGCAAGGAUAAAUAGUUUCGCAAGUAACCCUGCUUGUAUCCUCAUGUGGGAUAUUUUGAUUAUUAGUGAUCAAGGCCCUGUUUGUUUCCUUCCAGGAUUAUUAGUGAUUAAGGCCCUGUUUGAUAAAUAGUUCUCUAGAUUAUAUAAUCCACCUAAUAAUCUAUGAUGUUUGUUUGCCUCCCAACUUAUUUAAGCUGGAUUAUAUAAUCUCGAGGGUAAACAAACAUGGCUUAAUUCAGGUGCAUUUAGGGUUUCUUAAUCUA